UACGUAGAGUGCAAGCGUUGUCCGGAAUUAUUGGGCGUAAAGAGCUCGUAGGCGGUUUGUCGCGUCUGCUGUGAAAACUCGGGGCUUAACCCCGGGCCUGCAGUGGGUACGGGCAGACUAGAGUGCAGUAGGGGAGACUGGAAUUCCUGGUGUAGCGGUGAAAUGCGCAGAUAUCAGGAGGAACACCGGUGGCGAAGGCGGGUCUCUGGGCCGUAACUGACGCUGAGGAGCGAAAGCGUGGGGAGCGAACAGG
rnacentral:rRNA from 1 species